AGCUAAUGAUGAUGAUGGCAAUUACUCAGUCCCAACGCCAAUUGAAUCCUAGCAGAGGUGUGGUUGCCUUUUCGGUUGUCACCGUUGGCAUCAACAGAUGGAUACAAGAAGAGAGAAGUUUUGAUGCUAAGGUUGACAGUCAUAAGUGGAGAGAUUCCUAAUCCAAUUAAAUUUCCAAUAUAUAUUCUCUUUGGAUCUGUUGAUUUUUCAUACUUUACAUUGUUUUUGGGCAGUACUGGUAACUGAUAGGUAUUUGGCAAUUUUUUAUUUGGGUUAUUUGGAACUAUGGAUCCUUAUCUGUGUAAGACUCUUAAUACGAUAGC